AGAGUUUGAUCAUGGCUCAGAACGAACGCUGGCGGCAGGCUUAACACAUGCAAGUCGAGCGCCUCGCAAGGGGAGCGGCGGACGGGUGAGUAACGCGUGGGAACAUGCCCUUGGGUGCGGAACAACAGCGGGAAACUGCUGCUAAUACCGCAUGAUGUCUUCGGACCAAAGAUUUAUCGCCCAAGGAUUGGCCCGCGUUGGAUUAGGUAGUUGGUGGGGUAAUGGCCCACCAAGCCGACGAUCCAUAGCUGGUUUGAGAGGAUGACCAGCCACACUGGGACUGAGACACGGCCCAGACUCCUACGGGAGGCAGCAGUGGGGAAUCUUAGACAAUGGGCGCAAGCCUGAUCUAGCCAUGCCGCGUGAGCGAUGAAGGCCUUAGGGUUGUAAAGCUCUUUCACCGGGGAAGAUAAUGACG
rnacentral:rRNA from 1 species